rnacentral:misc_RNA from 1 species
CGUGAAUAUCAUUUGAAUUGUGUGUCGAUUAAUUGGAAGAUGAAAGGGAAAUAUUUGAUAUCUUGCUCCCAGGCUGCUAAACAGGACCAUUAGAUUUGCUCGAAAUCUAGAGAAUAAUCCUUCCAAGCUGCUACUUCUAUAUCCUAACCUUGGUCCCACACAUUGACCCUGUGCAGAAGCACUAACAUCAGUGUAUCUCGUGGAUUGCCUUUGUUCUUCCCCAUCUUUCAAUCUCUUUAUAUAGCUCUUAGUGACCCUGCUCCCGCUCAUAGCCCACAGAUUGUUCAAGAAUCUAAAGUUCAUUCUGCCCUGNCCCUGGAACGCCCUAAAUUUCUUUUCGCAGAAAACACUUUUAGAUGUGGCAUCAUUCGCUUCCAGGUCCCAAUUGCCAGUAUCGUCUUGCCUGUUACAAGAGAUCUCUUG